AGCUCCAAUAGCGUAUAUUAAAGUUGUUGCGGUUAAAAGCUCGUAGUUGGAUUUCUGUUGAGGACUGCCGGUCCGCAUUUUGUGCGUGUAUCUGGUUUGGCCUUGGCAUCUUCUUGGGGAACGUCGCUGCGCUUGAUUGCGUGGAACGGUAUUCAAGACUUUUACUUUGAGGAAAUUAGAGUGUUCACGGCAGGCUUUCGCCUUGAAUAUGUUAGCAUGGAAUAAUAUUAUAGGAUCAAGGUCCUAUUUUGUUGGUCUAUAGGACUUUGAUAAUGAUUAAUAGGGGUAACUGGGGGCAUUCGUAUUAACACGUCAGAGGUGGAAUUCUUAGAUUGUGUUACGACGAACUACUGCGAAAGCAUUUGCCAAGGAUGUUUUCA
rnacentral:rRNA from 1 species